rnacentral:rRNA from 1 species
AUUGAACGCUGGCGGCAGGCCUAACACAUGCAAGUCGAGCGAGCGGCGGACGGGUGAGUAAUGUAUGGGGACUGCCCGAUAGAGGGGGAUAACUCCUGGAAACGGUAGCUAAUACCGCAUACUAUCGGAUUACCCAAAUGGGAUUAGCUCGUUGGUGUGGUAAUGGCUCACCAAGGCGACGAUCCCUAGCUGGUCUGAGAGGAUGAUCAGCCACACUGGGACUGAGACACGGCCCAGACUCCUACGGAGGCAGCAGUGGGGAAGAUUGAACAAUGGGCGCAAGCCGGAUGCAGCCAUGCCGCGUGUAUGAAGAAGGCCUUAGGGUUGUAAAGUACUUUCAGUCGGGAGGCGUUACCGACAGAAGAAGCACGGGCUAACUCAGUGCCAGCAGCCGGGGUAAUAC